rnacentral:rRNA from 1 species
UACGGAGGGUGCAAGCGUUAUCCGGAUUCACUGGGUUUAAAGGGUGCGUAGGCGGUCUGUUAAGUUGGAUGUGAAAACUCUGGGCUCAACCCAGAGCCUGCAUCCAAAACUGGCAGGCUAGAGUUCUGGAGGGGGUAGCGGAAUUCCUGGUGUAGCGGUGAAAUGCGUAGAUAUCAGGAGGAACACCUGCGGCGAAGGCGGGUUGCUGGGCCGACACUGACGCUGAUGCGCGAAAGCCAGGGGAGCGAACGGG